rnacentral:piRNA from 1 species
UAACGACUACCGACUAAAACCCAACGAGC